rnacentral:sRNA from 1 species
UUAGUGUUGACCGCGGGAGCCUCCUAC